rnacentral:tRNA from 1 species
GGGCGUGUGGCGCAGUUGGUAGCGCGUUCGCUUCGCAUGUGAAAGGUCUUCGGUUCAAAUCCGGACUCGUCCAC